UACAAACUUCCUCGCGUCUCCUGCCUCCAAGAAAGCCGUCCGUAUCGUUCUCCCUUUUGAAUGAAGAGAGCGGGGGACUUCCUGCUCCGAAACCCUCGCCGCCGCAGCUCCACCACCACUGCUUCCACCCUCAGAGUAGCAGUAAAAUACUCUACUCGUUCUUCUUCGCUUCCUCUUCUUUAGGUCUCUUUGAUCCCAACUCCUGUAAAACUCUCUCUCUUCAUCUCUCAAGAUGGACUCUUCUUGUUCGUCGUCGUCGACGGAGCGAUACAGCUACAACCCUGCCCUUCGUUGGAAUCCACAGGUAGAGGAGUAUUUCAUCAAAGCCUACGGAGCCGAACACUUCGCCCGGAUUUCCAAAGCCCUAGCGCAUCCAUCUUGCUACUCUUGUAUUCGUGUGAAUACUCUCAGAUCUUCAAGUGAUGCUGUUAUCAAGAAGUUAGCAACCAUUCUAGAUGAUAAAAAGCUUGCUGGUGAUAUUGAUGGCAUGACAAUUAGCAAACAGAGUGCUGCAGCUGAAGUUGAUCAAGUAAUGAAACCAGAUAGCUUCUGUGAAACUUUAAAUCCUGAUCAUAGGCUUGCCACAGGAACAGAUGGAGAUACUUCUGUGGAGAGAGUACGAAGCCCAUGCAUUUGCAAGUGUCCCUAUCCUGGUCUAGACAAUGUUGUGUUUGUCAAGGGUUCAGGACCACACACAUUUCAGUAUGACGGACAAACUGGCCAACCUGUGAAGGAAGUAAUUGUGAGUCGAAAAUGUGCUGAGGCAGUUCUUCGAGGAGCCCAGGUAUAUGUUCCUGGUGUAUUGGCUUGCAGUUCGCAUGUUGAAAAGGGGGAUAUGGUUGCAGUUUCAGUUGCUGUGGAACAACCUCUUAAUGACAAUGGUUGGGGUGUUGGUAUAACACGUGGAACAGUUCUCCAGGGGUUGCUGUCAGAUCCUCAAUAUCAUGGAAGAAAUGGCAUGUACAUUGGGCAAGGAAAAACUUUGAUGUCAAGGGCUGGAAUCUUUCGUGUUCCUGAAGGGAUUGCUGUGGAAAUGACAAAUAGAGUAUACAAGCUUCCAUCUUUUCAUGAUGUGCUUGAAGGAGAAAUAUUUCUUCAAAAUUUGCCCAGCAUCAUCACUGCUCAUGUCUUAGAUCCCCAACAAGGAGAACGGAUUUUGGACAUGUGUGCUGCUCCAGGAGGGAAAACGACUGCAAUUGCUAUCCUUCUGAAGGACAGAGGAGAAGUUGUUGCCAUUGAUAGAUCUCACAAUAAGGUGAUGGAAAUUAUGAAGUUGGCUGCAGAGAUGGACUUGACUUGUAUAAAUGCAUAUAAGCUUGAUGCUCUUAAAUCUGUACGUCGAACUAAUGAGGGAGAAAAUACUGAUGUAACAGAUCAUAUCAUUAGAGAAUUAGAUAUGACUGUUAAAGAUUCAAAAUCAUUUAGAGUUACAAAUGGUGACGUUGUUAGCAGUAAUACAGAAACAUCCGGCAUUGAUGUGACAUCCAUGCAAACUGGUAAGAGAAUCAACAAUGGAAAAGCAGAUUUAAGAAGGUAUGUCAGCAAAGCUGACCUAAGGAAGAAUGCUCGACGAAUGAGAAAUGGACCAGGAAGAAAUCAUUGCAUGGGUGCUAGGGUUGAAAAUUCAAAAGGCUUUCUACCUAAUAGUUUUGAUCGUGUUCUUCUUGAUGCUCCAUGUUCCGCUCUUGGCUUGAGACCUCGACUAUUUGCUGGGCAGGAAACUGUAGAAUCCUUGAGAAAUCAUGCAAAGUAUCAAAGAAGGAUGUUUGACCAAGCUGUUCAGCUAGUCCGUCCAGGAGGAGUUAUUGUGUACUCAACAUGUACGAUAAACCCAGGAGAGAAUGAGGCCUUAGUUCGGUAUGCUUUGGAUACAUACAAAUUUCUGUCAUUGGCAUCGCAGCACCCAAAAUUGGAGGACCUGGUAUAACUGGCCGUUGCGAGCUGUUUGGUGGGGAAUAUGUGGAGGAAUGGCUAACCCAAAGUGAAGCAGAACUUGUUCAAAGGUUUGACCCAUCAUCUUCGCUCGAUACGAUUGGUUUCUUCAUUUCAAAGUUCCACGUUGGUCAGAAAGAUUUAUGAGUGCAAGCAUUGAACUUACUGGUAACAACUAAAACCAUGGUCCAUCUGAGCAAGUUCCAUUAGUCCUUGUUCAGAUUGCCAUCCUAACUGAACUGGAUGGAAAGCAGCAUGCAAUCGAUCCAGCAUGUUUUGGGUACCUUGAGACAACUCGUAUUUACUUAAAAAGAGGCUCCAAAACUCGUACGAGACGAUCAGGUCUAUGCAGAGAAACGGAGUCUGGCCCCACAUUACUGCAGCAUCAGUGUAACUUUUAGUUUUAAAAUCUGUCUAUCAUGGUAACUGAUCAUAACAAGUAAAUUGAACAUGAUCCUGAUGUUAAGAGGCACUUCCAUUUUUCUCGUUAGCUCAAUUCAUACGUUCUGACAAGCCUUUUUUUUUAACUAAAUGUUCUGUAAAAAUAUAUUGUUAAUAAUAUAUUCAUUGGAGCUGAAUUUAAAUUGA